UACGGAGGGUGCAAGCGUUAUCCGGAUUCACUGGGUUUAAAGGGUGCGUAGGUGGGCAGGUAAGUCAGUGGUGAAAUCUCCGGGCUUAACUCGGAAACUGCCAUUGAUACUAUCUGUCUUGAAUACCGUGGAGGUUAGCGGAAUGUGUCAUGUAGCGGUGAAAUGCUUAGAUAUGACAUAGAACACCAAUUGCGAAGGCAGCUGGCUACACGAAUAUUGACACUGAUGCACGAAAGCGUGGGGAUCAAACAGGA
rnacentral:rRNA from 1 species